rnacentral:lncRNA from 1 species
GGGCCGACAUGGUUGUUAAAGUUGUUCUUGCUGGGGAUUAAUUGGGCGUUGUAGGUCUGAGGGUACUUGUUGGUGUGCUGCUGCUCUUUCUCUGACUCAGCUGUAUAUGGCAGGUUGUUGUUGUUGGUGGUGAAUUGUGCACCAUUGGUAGUGGUGUAGGGUGCACCGGUGGUUGUGGUGGUGUAGGGUGCACCGGUGUUUGUGGUGGUGUAGUGUCCAACGGUGUUUGUGGGGGUGGGAGGCAGCUGGCCAGACCCAUGGCCAUAGAGACCAUCGAGACCAUAUCCACUUUGGGUCUCUGGAAUGAAGGCUGGCUCUUGCUCUUGCUUUUUCAAAGGGGUUUCUGCUAUGGGGAUCUCCUUCUCAUAGUUGUUGUGGUUGUUGACAUUGGCCACUUUGCUAAAGAAUUGGUUUUCUCUAGCUUGAGCUUGUUGAGAGAAGAGGAGAGAUGCAAGGAAGAAGAGGAAAGAGAACAAUUUUGCAGCAGAAGCCAUAGUGGCAAGUGAACUUGUUGGGAGGCAGCUGCUGUAAACUGAGUGUAUAUUGUGGGGGAGAGCUAGUGGUAGUCCAUUCUUUAUGUAGAGGACCAUUUUUCUUCUCACCCAAAAUUUUCAACUGAUUAGGUGCAAAUGGGCUGGAGGAUGGGUGAUGGUUUGUGGUCCUCAGUGGGGGCAGAACAACAACAAUAUUGAGCACUCUUUUUUUUCCUUUUUCCAGUUAAUUAGUUUAUUUUGUUUUGUUUUUUUUAAAAAAGAUAUGUAUAUACACAUUUUGGAUGCACUUCAUGCUUUCCAUGGAGGAAAACAACAUAAUUAUCUGCCAUUUUCUCUACUAAGAGCAUUUUUAGCAGUUAACCCCUUGCCAUGGCAAGAGGAGCUCCAAGACAGCUACUAUUCAUGUGAAUAGUAGCUGCCUUAGCCCCCAGCAAAGUGUGUUUCCAACAGUUGCCUUUUGCUAUGGCAAAUACUAUUCAUUUUUUUAUUUUUUUUUUCACAACUUUGUUUACUUAAACAAUUAACUUGGAUAAUAUUUUCGGAAUAGAUUUGGGUUCCUACGUGUCAAUACUAUUCAUAUCGGACAAGAUUUUCGGUUUCAAAUUUCAGAUACAUUUCAAAAUUCAAAUUUCAGAUAAAUUUCAAAUGUCAAAUUUCAGAUACAUUUCUAAAUUCAAAUUUCAGAUAAGAUUUUCACCCUCUAAGAUUGCGCCACGUGUCGUAUCUAUUUGCCUAAAUUUUUCUAUAAAACCAGAGGCUCAGCUCAUACCUUCCACACCAGAUCUUCUCUACAUUUCCAUUUCUCAGAUUUUAGAUUUCAUUCUCCAUUCUCAAUGGCAGACAUGCAAGAGGUUUUGGAGAGGCAAGAGCAAGAAACUAGAGAAAGAAUACGUAGACGAGAGCAAAAGGGCGCAGAGAGAACUAGAUGAGCAACUUGGCAUAGCAGUUGCUUUGCUGGAGGAAGAAAACCAGAGCCGCCGUGGUUCAUGAGAAGGCCGUGGCUCGAAUGUGGACAGACAUAGACAUUCUCGGGGUAAGAAUCUUCUGGAAGAUUAUUUUAUCACUACAAGGAAAAUUCCUUUUAGUGACGAAACAGGAUGGUCGCAAUAACAUCAAAGUUCGUCGCCAAAUAUAAAUAGCGACGAAUAUUUUUGGUUGCCAAGGUCGUCGUUGAAAGCUCGUGGCUAAAGAUACCAUGCGACGAAACAAAAUAUCGUCGCUGAAAUAUUUUAGCAACCAAUUUUGUCGUCGCUAAACAGAUCUAAGUUGGUCGCCUAUCGAGAGUGAGUUGCCGCCAAAAUACCAAAAAUUCCCGCGAACAUGGAACUAUUUGGCGACGAAAUAUUUGGUCGCUUGAACAUUUCAGCGACGAAUGUUUUGGUCGUGAAAGAUGUAGUUUAUUUGUAGCAUAUGUUAGUUGGUUUGGUUAUUUUCAGAAUGGGCGACGAAACAGAUUGGUCGCCAAAUCUGUAGAUAUUGGUAUUGUCAGUUGAGCGAUGAAAACUAAUUCGUCGCCAAAAAAGUAUUGAAUUUUUUUAUAAAUAAAAUAUUUAUUUAUAUUUCAAGCUUUGUAACAGAAUAUUAUUUAGUCCAUAAAGUUUUUGAAAAACAGUAAAUAGAUUAAAUGAAUAGAAAUAGCAUAAUUACUAUUCAAAAGAUACCAGUUGUUUAAGCACACAUCAAUAUAUGCUAGAUACAAAAACCCCCAAGAUAUCCUAGAUACAAAAACCAUCAAGUAGCUAGAUACAGAAGCCCCUAGAACCCCAAGGUAGGCUAGAUACAAAAACCAUCAAGUAUGUAGAUGUACACACAACCUAGUGACUAUUUCCAAUAUCAUCAAGAUCCGCAUAAACAUUACGUGAACCACCACUAUUACCUUGAUCAUCAUCACAAGGAGAAUCACCAACAUGCUGGGACAGAACACCUAAACAUGAGGGUAGAGGACCAUCAUGGGUUCGCAUCCACUCAAUGACAUCCAAAAGUUUACCCACUAUGCCCUGAAGCUCACUUACUGUGCCUUUCAACUCACCAACUGUGCCUUGAAGUUCCUCAACCUUUUGCUCUGUGGCAAAAGAAGAGGCAACUCCACCACUAUGCGCACUCUCCACUCGGAGACUAGAACCCAAGCCUCGAAUCCUCUUGCCCUUUACAACCCCAAGCUCUAUAAUCAUGAUCUCUAACUGUUGUGGGAUAGGGAGUGUGACUUGAUCUAGUGGAGUUCCUGAACUCUCUGCCACUUGUUGCUUGGCCUUCUCAUACUCUUCAUUCAUCUUCUUCUACAAAAAGAAGCAAAAUAAAGAUAUGUCAAUAUAUAUAAAUGCAUAAAAAGAAUGAGGUAAAUGGGAUGCCAGUACGAUCAAUUGUGUUCAUAAACUAGCAAUGCCAAUUAUCCUAAUCAAACAGUCACAAACAAAAAUUUCGUUUCAGCUUGAAGCAAAUAAUAAAAGUAAAUUUAGGUUUUACCCAUAAAAAAAUUUUCACUUUUGGAAAAAGCCAAAGCUUUUUCAAAAAAGACAGAAAAACCUCUCAACUUUCAAACCAAAGACAUGCAAAUGUAAAGGAUUCCUUAGGAAAUCAAAAAAUAAAUAAGGGCAAUUUUGUCCAUUUUGGCUUCUUUUAAAAUUUUUCUCUCUCCUUUGGGCUUUUCCAAAGUCUCCCAAUAAUAAAAGGAAAAGGCACAUAAAAAAAUGGAAUAGAUCUCUUUGGAUAUGCAGAUUGCAGAAAGUUAGAAAAUACUCACAGAUCUUAUAAGAUCUUUUUCUGCAUCUCCUGAAAGCAACGACAAUACAAACAAGAAACUUCCAAAAACAAGGAUUAUAAAUAUUUGCCCAGCAACAUGGCCCCCUUAUAAUUGGGCCUAAAUUUUAACUUCUAAGAGCACAACGGGUUAUUCGAACUGAAUUUGUUUAAUAGGAAUUUGGAAUUGGGCCUCCAAAGAGGAAUCGAAGUACAAUUGUAGCAGCUCUGUUUCAAAACAAUCUUAGCAUGCACUUUUUUUGGUCUUCAAUAUAUAAGAUAAUGGAAAAUUUAGAAAACUCAGACACAUCUUCAUUGUGUUUCUAAUUAAUUAGUUCUAUUUGCAAUGGAUAAAGCCAUUAUAUGAUGCUAAAACCAAAGUACACAAUUAGCAUCUAAAAUAAUAGGUCGUCAAAAACUUGCAUGACCAGUCAGCUGAUUUUUUGGAUUGCAUAAUAUGCAAGUCAUUAGUAAAUUGUCAGCAGGUUUAUGUAUUCCUUACCCCUUUAAUUUCAGCAACCUCAUUGAUCCACAUGCUCUUACUCUUAAGAAUAUGCAUGUUGUUCCAAUUGCUAAUGUAUGUAGGAUUUUCACCCUUCUACAUUUUCCCAACAAAAAGAAAAUGAGAAAUACUUGAAAGUAUUACAAUAUAAUAAAUAAAGAAACAUUUAAAGUGACCAAAAGUUAUAAACCUCUCUAGCAGCUUCCAUAUGUUUUAGGAAAGGACGUGACCCGCCUGUAUGAUCAAACUCUUUCUUUUUUCUGUUCUCAGCAUUGGUCUUGCAGCGUUUCUGUUUUGAUUAAAUACAUGAAUUGUUAUGUCUUUUUUUCUAUUUGAUACUUAGAAUAAGUUCCCAAUCAAAAAAUGAAAACUGCAGAUGUUACAUUAGAUACGUGAUAUUGCUCAUUUGUGUAGAACGUAUCAACCAAAUAAUGCCACUCUUCUAGAGUCCUUCGAGUACCAAAUAUCUUUUCAGGGGGAGGUGUUUCUCGUGCAAGAUCAGGGUUAGAAGCAUAUUGCUUAUAGUGUCUGUGGAGCUUUGCUUUCCAUUCUUUAUAAGUUGAGUGCAUAUAGUCAGUAAUAAAUUUCCAUAUAUCCGGAUCCGUUAAGUCCACAUGAAACAUGAACUAAUAUCAAUUAACCAUAAACAAAACAAGUAUUAAUUAUAAUUUUCAAUGCAAAUAGAAACAUUGAAGGACAAAUUUUUCAGUUCACACUAAAAUACAAUGAAGAAUUGAAAUAAAAAGAGAGCUAAAUGAACAAAAUUAAAUUAUAAUCAAUGAAGAAUUAGAUAAGAUUACCUGCAAACCCAAAGCCAUAUCUUUCUUCGUCUCCAAGCUCACUUUUUUCAUCCCUAAAAUAUUCAAGGGAGCUUUGUUGCGAGUGAUUAACCCAAUCUCAGAGACGAACAGUUUUUGAGCCUCAAUAGUCGCCACCAAUUUCUGGGAUGGAUCCAUCCGUAUUGGAAUCAAACUCUUCCUCUUUUUCACAACAUCACAAGUGCUAGCCCCCACAGUUCGGCCACGAGUGUUCUUCCUUUGUGAAGAAGUUUGAGUAUGCGUUCCUUCAUCUAGAAGAAAAACAAUUCUAAAAAUCAAUAACUUGAUUGCACAAAAUAAAAGUAUAAAAAUUAAGGGCACAAAAUAUGGUAUCAGUUACCUUGUUGGCAGGAACCCCCUCCUGAGGCUGAUGAAGCACCUUGUUGUGGCUGAGUUGAUUGUUGUUGUGGCAGUUGACAUGGUUGCUCAAGUGGCUGUGGUGGUAGUAGAGUUGAAGUUUUCUUCUUCUUAUUGUUAUUGUUGCUUAAGGUAGCAGCCCUCGUAAGUGUCAUUCUACACUUACAAACACAUAAACAAAGAGAGAAUACAACAAUAUACUACUAGAUCAUUCCUUGAUAAAAUAAAAAUAAAUGAUUGAACAUCAUACUUCAGCUGUAAUAACAUCAAUUUUCAUCACAAACGUGCUUGAGAUAAAGGAAUUAUUCAUUAAAAAAUGAUUGAACAUCAUACUUUAUCAAUAGGAAAGAAAAAUAACACUCACAUGCAUUUCAUUUACAUGGGAAGGACAUAUACAAACCUUAUCCGAAGAUAUUUCUUUAAUAUACAGACCUUACAGACCUUACCCCUUAAAACAGAUUAAGGAAAACAUAUAGUAACUUGAAGAUAAUUAAGAAACAUAUAGUGCCUAAACAAAAGACAACCUAACACUUCAAUCCAAUUCCAAAUCCUAUAAUCGUCAAUGUGAACACUACCUUCGUCAUCACCGAAAGGUAUUUGUUCAAUAUCAUCGUCAUCAAUAAAAUCUUCAUCCUCCAUAUAAUUUGGGACAUGCACGGACAUGGAGUCUCAUUCUUCUCAUCAACAUGUUGGCUUGCAACUUCCAUAAAUGACUCAAUACCAACACAAUAUUGAUUACUCAACCUGUUUUUAUUGUGUAUCCAAACCCUGUUCAUCUCUAACGCACCUUGUCUCCGUCUUCUUAUACCUCCUAUAAUGGGCCUUCUCCAAUUCAAUCGGUGAUGACUUGAAGCAGUUCCAAAAUUUCAUAACAUGAUUAGAUCGAACACUUAUAUAGAUACAAGCCAAUAACUCUUUCACAUAAUGAUAAGCUAAUAACUGUUUCACAUGAAAAUUAUAAAAAGAGGGAUUCCACAUUAAUUAUGCUUUUCAAGGGUAAGUAUCAAGGUAACAAUAUUUUUUUUUUACGAUUCUUUCAACAUUAUUUUGCAUAAUCUAGUUGAACCCAUGAAACCAGUGAAAAAAAAUGAAGGCAGGUGCAAGAUUUGCAGCUAUUCAUACCUCUAAAGCAAAUAUAGCCUCUUAAGCAAGUAUUUCAAACAACCUAUUGCCCAAAAAAAAAAAAUCAGUUAGACACAGUAAACCCAAGACACAUAGCCUCUUAAACAAAUAUAGCCUCUUAAGCAAGUAAUUCAAACACCCUACUGCAAAAAAGAAAAAGAUAAAAACAAAUCUGUUAGACACUAUUUUUGGAGGGCUUGAGUCCAAAUUAGUCUUCAAACUCAAAAUAGUAUAUGCCUUCGCCUCUAAGUUUCACCACUCAUCAUUAAACAAAAAAAUUAUUUUUCUGAGUUAACUCAAAACAGUAACAUAAUAAGACAUCACAGGAAGCACCAAAUAUCCAAGAUAAAAUUCUCAACAUAAAACCAAAUGGUUCAAAGUAAUAUUGUAAUCAACACAUCCACUUUAUACAGUGAUAACAUGUACAAUGAAUAAAGUCAGGCUUAAGGUCACAUGUCUCUCAUGUAGUAUAUGAAUUAUCCGAAAUUAAUAAUUAGGCUCUUCAUCUCAAUUCCAAAACAAAUUAUUAUUCUUUAUAGUUCUUAAUUAUAUAUGCCCUAAAUGAUUAUAAAAAUCAUUUCAAAUUAACAAAAAUUUACCCUUGAAGCUAAUUGAAUGACCUUGCGUAAAAUUCAAGCUACCAAUGAUCAUCACAUAAAGCCAAAAUGGUUUGUUAAAAAAGAAAAAAAUGUGGCUGGAAGAGCUUGAAAAGGAUUUCCAAAACAAUCAAACCAACAUUGAAGGAUGAUACUCCAUCAGUUAAAUUCUAUUGUCCAAUUAAGUGGUACUACACUUAGACACCAAUACUAAGGGAAAUAAAAAUAAUUGCUAAACUGACGAGUUAAUCUAUGGGAUGAUGAACCUGCAGCUAGCUUAUAUAUAAAAUAUAGAGACAACUCUGCAGCUAGCUUAAUCUAAACUAUAAAGAUAACUCAAUAAGCUACAUUGGCAAAAAAAAUCAAUAAUAAUAACCACACCAAAAAAAAAAAAAAAAAAAAAAAAGAAGAAGCUCAUAGACAAAGGCAAAGGAACCUUGAAACGAAUACACACCCACAUGACCAACUUCCAACUUCUAACUUUUUACUUCAAUUAUAUAAAUGAAUUGUUAUAUUCUUUCUUCCAACAGAUAGUAAAGAAAUUCAGAUUUAAUCCAGAAGUAUCAAGCAAACAUUCAAGACUUGGAAAAUAAUCAAUCAGACUCAAAGCAUUAAAACUAAAAAACUGAAUUAACUAUUGGGUACGUCUGCAAGUGAAACAUCUCAAAUUUGACACAGAACCCACAUCAAAUGCAAAACAAGGCAUUCAUAUCAGACACAAAACCCUACUCAAAUUUGACAUAGAACCCACAAUAACCACUUGAAAAAUAAACGUCAUUGUAUUCAGAAAACUUGAACAGUUGAAUGUUCAAGCAUUUAAGAUAUCAAAAAGGAAAAAUCAAGCACUGAAAUUCAGUUUCGAUUUAAAUUCCUGGGUAUCUAUUUCCGAUUUUCCUUGAUUAUUUUCUCAACAACCAAAUAGAAUCUACAACUGAAAAUCAGCGAUCAAAAGACAAUGAAUGUAAGCUAGACAAGGUAGACUCACCAGAAGCUUUCGUUGAAACACACAGUGAGGAGGACUUAGGAGAUGGAGUUUUCGUAUGGCCGUCGAUUCCUGACCGUGGUAGGGAAAGGCAUGCGAGAUGGAGGAUUGCUCUGCCGACGUCGGUGGAGGAUUGCUUUGCCAAUGUGAGAGCAGGGGAGAGUGGGUCUGCGAGGAACUAACGAGUAAGGAACUUUUUAUUUUUAUUUUUAUAUUUAUACUCUCUAGAUUAGCCCCAAAAACUGUUUGGUCGUCAUAUGCUAACAUACAUAAAACAACGUCGGUUUAUGGUUCAAGCACAAUGAUCUGCGACGAAAAACAAAUGGUCGCUGACCCCCGAAAUUUUUAAGCGCCAAUUAUAACUUAGCGACAACACAUUAAAACUUAGCGACCUAAUAUUUUCGUCGCCAAAACUUUUAGAGUUUCGCACGCACCCAAUUCAGUAAAUCGCGAUCAAAUAUAUGUUUGGUCGCCAAGUCCUUACCUAACCACCAAAAACUUUCGUUGCCUUUAGUUGAUAAAUUAGUCGCUAUUUUGUUGACUCAAGUCAUGAUAGGUGUCUAAAAAUCACGAACUUUUUGGUGACUAACUAGAAAAUUUUCAUAGCCGAUGCCCUUUUUGGCAACCAAAAUAUAGUGCGUCGCUAACAAUUUCGUCUCAAAAGAGGUUUUUCCUUGUAGUGUAUCCCACAUUCUCUAUACUCUGAUGUUCAUUUUCGAGCGAGAUAUAGAAUGCAAUCCCAUUUGUUCAAUAAAGUCAUGCAUAAUAUUUGCAAUUAUGAUGAAUACUUCGUUCAAAAGAAAAAUUGUGCUGGAAAUUUGGGACUUCUUCCCGAGCAAAAGUUCAUAGAUGUGAUACGAAUGUUGGCGUAUGAGUCAUCUGCUGAUCAGGUGGAUGAGGUUGCCCGGACAGGGAAGUCCAUUAUUUUGGAGAGUUUGGUGCGAUUUUGUGAUGCAGUGGAAACUCUGUACACUAGAGACUACCUGUGCAGACCUACGCCCAGGGACCUGUAAUGGCUUCUACAAAAAGCUGAGUCUCGUGGAUUUCCUGGAAUGAUUGGUAGCAUUGACUGCAUACAUUGGCAAUGGAAAAAUUGUCUAACUGCUUGGCAAGGGGAUUACGGAAAUAGGAAAGGGCAGAAAAGUAUCAUCUUGGAAGCAGUUGCUGGUUUCGAUACAUGGGUUUGGCACGCCUUCUUCGGAGUUGCCGAAUCUCAAAACGAUUUGAACGUCCUGGGUCAAUCCCCGGUGUUCAAUGAUGUUUUGAGAGGUGAAGCCCCAAAUAUCACAUAUGAAAUCAACAAUACCAUCUACCAGAACGGGUAUUAUCUAGCUAAUGGCAUCUACCCGAGGUGGAUAACAUUUGUGAAAUCAAUUCCACAUCCCCGAUCCCAUAAGUAAAUUUUUUUGCUGCCUAUCAAGAGGGAUACAGAAAAGAUGUGAAGAGGUGCUUUGGUAUCCUUCAAGCCCGGUCCGCUGUUAUUAGGGUCGCGGCGCGUCUAUUUGACGAGGAGGUGCUUAGGAGUAUAAUGAUGACUUGUAUCAUCCUCCACAACAUGAUUGUGGAAUAUGAGUAUGAUUACGAUGCUGAUGAAGUGUAUGACCAGAUCCCAUGGACACGGCCCUAACACGAAUUUAUGAAAAACCCAUAGGGCCAAAUGGAGAGCCAGUGCAGCAUGAACCGUUAGUUAGAGACGGUAGUUUCAUGCCCCGUAUAAUUGAUCGCUACACGGAUAUGCAAUCGUCGUAUAUUCAUGAACAUCGUCAAGUUGACUUGAUGGAGCAUUUAUGGGUAGUGAAAGACAAUAAAGGUGAAUGAAGUGAAGUGAAGAUGUUUUUUUAAUUUAUUAUGUUUAUGUUGUAUUUUUAGUUAUGCUUUAUUUUUUUUAUCCUUUAGUUGUGAUUUGUUUAUUUUUUUAUGCUUUGGUUGUGGUUUGCUUUUUAUGUAUGGAAUGUUUUGAAUAAAAAGUAAUUUUGUUGAAUAUUUUCUUUAUUCACUAAAAGAAAAUCAAUACAACUAAUAAAAUAAAUCAUCCUGUUCUAGAGCUAAAACCAUAGCUGUCCCAAAUUCAAACAUAAUUAUCAUUAAACUAAAACCAUACAGCUAUUAAGUUUUGAAUAGAGAACUUGAUCUGGAAAUGAGAAUUGACAUAGGAACAAGCUACAAGAAGGAAAAAUCUUAAAUUUAUUGAAUUUAUAAAUAUUACAACAGACAAAUUAAUUGAAUCAAUUCAAUAAGAAAUUGGACAGCUGAAAACAAGUCAAAAUGGUCCAGCUAUGACAUGAUACUAGUACAUAACACUUGUCACUCAAAUUGAUUCCACAAAUUGACUAAAGAAAGAUAAAUAAACAAAGGAGCUGAAAAUCUAUUGAGAAAAAUGCACGCAUAUUGCAUAAUAUGAACAACUAUUGAAAGCAACGUAUCUGAAAUUAUUGUUUAGAUAUCUGAAGGUAAGCCAUCUAAGUCUCUUUUUUUAUUGGGCAAAGAGAUUAUCCAUAAGAUGAAAGCAAACAAACAGUAUAAACAUGAAGCCCAAAGAAAGGCGGGAAACACCUCCUGCAACCAAACAGCCAAGAGAAAAAGACGGCUAUCUGAGUCUAUCCACUAAAUACAGAAGGAUCGAGUCUGGUUAAACCAAGCCCUUGUAAAGACAUGAGUACCUUGUUUAUCUUCAUUUGUUCAUCUUCCCCAAAAACAAAAAACGUGAGAAUCAGGCAUAGGAGGGUGGGAUUUUUUUAUGGGGUUUGGUAUUUAUAUCACCCACUCAAAAGUCUCACACAAUACACCAUUUAACGAAAUACCUCAAAAUCGAUAAGUUUUUUAAUACCAACGUACUUUUUCUAAUCUUUUAAAAGUCCUAAUUGAAUACCACAAGACUUGAAUUGAUUAUUUCAGAGUUUUUCUAUUUAAACCUCAUACUUUUUUUUGUUCACCUCAAUACUUAAAUCAUUAAGCUUUUAAGUUUUAUUAUUGUGUAAAAAGACAAAAAAGAACAUCCAACUUAUUAUUGUAUUUAAACCCCAUACUUUUCUUUGGUUGCUAAUUGCUCAAAUUAAGAACAUAAUUUACUGCUAUCAACAAAAAUAAAAAUAAAAACCACUGCGUGCAAAGUCCAGGUAAUCAACAAGCUCUCUCGUGACUGCUCUUCAUUUGUCAUUCAUGAAGACAUAAAGAUACCCACUUGUAAUUCUAUCGCCAUUAUCUUCUUGACUACUUGUCUUCUUCUUUUUCAAGGAGACUAAUCUUUUUAUUUGUCUUCUCUGAAUUUAUAAUUGUUUCCUUGAAGUUGCUGUUAUCUGGGUUUUUUUAUUUUUCUUUAUGGUAUAUAUUUGAAAGGAUCCUCUGCAGUUGGUUCAGUAUUUCUUUAAGUUUUGGUUACAUUUUCCUUUUCUUUGGGGUUCUUAUUAUCUGGGUUCUUGGUGAUUGUUAAUUGUAUUUGUGCAAAUGGGUUUCUAGAGGUUACGUUAAGUAUUUUUUAUUAUUUUUUCUUAUUGCAUUAGUUUUUAUUUUAUUUAUGUUCUUAAGGAUUCUAGUAAUUACUAACUUAGGUGCUUAAAUUCAUAGUGUUAAUUAUGCAAUUUGUUUUCAUUUGGUUCUGGACGACUAAGAUAAAAAUUGGUGGCUUGAGCCAAGUGUGGCUGUGGAAAUUGAUGGAAGCCUAAGAAAAGAAUGAGGAGAGUCGUUUCAGAAGAUGGACCAAGAAAAGACUGAGGUGCCUAAAACUCCUCCAGCACUAAACACCCGGAGAAGGGCUCCGGUUGCUUCUGGUCGACAUAACACCACACAGAAGGAGAAAGUGGGGUGUCAGGUUGUUGAAAUUUUUUUAAUUAUUUUUUCUCAUGGGUGUGUAUUUAGGGGUAGUUUGAGAAGACAUUGAGGUUUACUUAGAAAUUGUGAAAAUUUGAAUUAAAAAUGGGAGAUUUUGGAAAAGUCCAAAGGAGAGAGAAAAUUUUUAAAAGAAGCAAAAAUGGACAAAAUUGCCCUUAUUUAUUUUUUGAUUUCCUAAGAAAUCCUUUACAUUUGCAUGUCUUUGGUUUGAAAGUUGAGAGGUUAUUCCGUCUUUUUUCAAAAAGCUUUGGCUUUUUCCAAAAGUGAAAGUUUUUUUAUGAGUAAAACCUAAAUUUACUAUUAAAAAUUGGGGUGAACUUAGAAUAUGAGGAAAAGAGAAGUGCGAGGUUUAAAUAGAAAAACUCUUAUUUAAAAUUCUUAAUUGAAUACCACCAAAUUUUUAUUGAUUACAUAAAAAUCCUAAUUGGAUACCACUGAACUUUUAAGCUUCAAAACAAUCUAUUAAAAUCUCAAUUGAAUACACAUAAAUUGCAUAAUGGACAGAUAGAUAAAUACUUGAUACCAAUCUCAUUCGAUACAGGCAUAGAUACUUCACAAAAAUCUCAUCUGCUAAUAUGUAGAUGCCACCUAUGAUCCCAACUACUAGGUUGGUCCACUACUAAAUUAUGAAAUUUGUCAGCAGAGGAGAGAAAUAAUAAAGAUGAUAUUAUUGAAAUUUCCUGUUGGUUAGAUUCUGUUAAAUUUCCCAACUUCUGUCACAUUUAAUUUUUCUAGUGUAUGUGUAUGUGUACGCUGCUGCUCUUCCGCUUCAUGAUGAUGAUUUGCACGACUGGUAAGUAUCAGAUUGGUAAAAAAUAAUACUUCAUUCUUCUUAAUAUAUAACAAAUAGGAAGGUUAUAUAUACAGAGCCUAGGAAACUAUUCUAGGAAAGUAAUUAUGUUCCUAUAAUCUUGCAUAAUCAAAUAGUUGACUUAGACUAAUUAGGAAUGUACAGCUCAUUGACACUCCCCCUCAAGUUGGAGCAUAUAUGUCAUCAAUGCCCAACUUGCUAAGUGAGUUGUGAAAUACCCUGCCUGUGACUGCUUUGGUAAGGACAUCUGCAAGUUGAUCUUCGGAUUUAACAAAUGAUACCUUAAUGAUCUUUGCCUCGAGCUUCUCCUUGAUGAAAUGUCUGUCAACUUCAACAUGCUUGGUUCUAUCAUGUUGCACUGGAUUAUGUGCAAUGUCUAUUGCAGCUUUGUUGUCACAAUUCAGUUGCAUGGCAUGUUUAGGUUUGAACCCCAAUUCCUCCAACAAAUUCCUUAUCCAGAGUAGCUCACAUACUCCGUGUGCCAUACCUCGAUAUUCUGCUUCAGCACUUGAUCUUGACACUACUUUCUGUUUUUUACUUCGCCAAGAUACUAGAUUGCCUCCUACAAAGGUAAAGUAUCCCGACGUAGAUCGCCUGUUAGUAACAGAGCCCGCCCAGUCUGCAUCAGUGUGACCCUCAACAUCUAGAUGACCAUGUCGUGCGAACAUCAAUCCUCUUCCAGGAGAUGACUUCAAGUAUCUCAAAAUUCGGUUUACCGCAUCCAUGUGGGCUUCACUUGGUGCAUGCAUGAACUGACUCACCACACUUACAGCAUAUGCUAUAUCAGGUCUAGUGUGUCCUAGAUAGAUUAACUUACCCACAAGGCGUUGAUAUCUUUCUUUGUUGGUGGGUACUUGAUCAGGAUAUUCACCAAGCUGAUGAUUCAACUCCAUUGGCGUAUCUGCUGGUUUGCUGGCUAACAUUCCAGUGUCAGUCAAAAUGUCAAGGAUAUAUUUCCGUUGUGAUAGAAAUAUUCCUUGUUCUGAACGAGCCACUUCGAUGCCUAGGAAAUACUUCAGAGCACCAAGAUCUUUCAUUUCAAACUCACUUGCCAAGUGGUGCUGCAAUGCUGCCUUUUCUAUUGGGUCAUUCCCGGUAACUACCAUGUCAUCAACAUAUACAAUAAGGGCAGUGACUUUACCUUUCUUAUGUUUCAGGAAAAGAGUAUGAUCUGAGUUACUUUGCUUGUAUCCAAAAUCCUUCAUUGAUUUGCUGAACUUUCCAAACCAUGCUCUGGGUGACUGCUUCAAGCCAUAAAGAGACUUUCUCAGUUUACACACCAUGUUGCUAGUAUUGGGCCCCAUCUUGCAUCCUGGAGGGGAAUCCAUAUAGACUUCUUCUUCUAGGUCGCCAUGCAGGAAGGCAUUUUUGACAUCAAACUGGUGUAAUGGCCAGUUUAGGUUUGCUGCCAGAGAAAGAAGUACCCGAAUUGUGUUUAUCUUGGCUACAGGGGCAAAUGUCUCCCCAUAGUCAAUCCCAUAAGUCUGAGUAUAACCUUUCGCCACCAGUCUUGCUUUGUAUCGUUCAAUGGUGCCAUCUGCCUUGAACUUUACUGUAUAUAUCCAUCUACAACCCACUGUUCUCUUCCCUUUGGGAAGGAUAGUCAUCUUCCAAGUGGAAUUCUUCUGGAGGGCCUCCAUUUCAUCAUUCAUCGCUUGAGUCCACUUGGGAUCUUUCAGAGCUUCCUGCACAUUACUUGGAAUAGAUACAGUGGAUAAUUGACAUACAAAUGAUGCACAUGACGGAGACAACCUAUGUAGGGACACAUGAUUAGCAAUAGGGUAUUUAACUUUUGUUUUUGGGUCCGGGUCAUACUGUUGUCUAGGAAUCCCUCUAGUGGUACGAAUAGGUAACUGAUAACCUGUGUUUCCUGUAUGACUCGACUCAUGUAAAGUGCUUAAGUUGGAGUUUAAAUGCUCAGUUACCUGCGCGGAAUCUUCAGGACCUGAUUGGAUGAUUGGUGAUGGUACUGUAGUAGGAGGGAAAUUAUCUGAACCAUCAUAUGGAGUUUCCAGUAACUCUUGAUCUUGUUGUACUACUGUAGCUGGUUGCUCGGACACUGACUGCUCUAAAACAGUUUGUUGAAUUUGGAUGCUCUGAGUAUCUUCUGCAAAGAUAGAGCUCUCCCCCUGCAGAGGAUGCUCAGAAACUCCCCCUGAGUAAUAGAACUCACUCUCGUGGAAAGUCACAUCGGCGGUAACAUGCAUGGUCUGAGUAGGAGGAUGGAAACACUUAUAGCCCUUCUGAGUGUCAGCAUAACCCACAAAGACACAACGCAGUGCACACGGAUCAAGCUUGCCACGCUGAUGUGGAUACACCUGAACAUAAGCAACACAACCAAAGACACGUGGUUCGAGAUUUGGUGUGGAUGGCAUGGUGAGGAGAGUGGUCAAUGUCUGAAAUGGAGUUUGAUACUGAAGAGUGCUAGAUGGUGUUCUAUUAAUGAGGUAAGCAGCAGAACAAAGAGCCUCCCCCCAAAAAUGAUGAGGCAUACGGGCCUCAAAUAAAGAGGCACGAACAACCUCCAAGAGAUGACGAUUCUUACGCUCUGCGACGCCAUUCUGUUGUGGUGUAUAGGCACAUGUGGUUUGAUGAACAAUUCCAUGUUGACUUAAAAAAUUAUGUAGGUCAUGGUUGACGUACUCUCCUCCAUUGUCAGACCGAAGCGUAGUGAUUUUCUUGUCAAAUUGAGUAGCAACAUAUUGAUAAAAUAACUUGAAUUUGGCGGUGACAUCACUUUUCUGCUUUAAGGGAAAAACCCAGGUCAUCCGGGUGCAAUCAUCAAUAAAUGUCAUAAACCACUUAAAACCGCUAAUAGUGGGAACUCGUGAUGGUCCCCAAACAUCAGAAUGGACAAUCAUGAAAGGCAAAGAACUUUUAUUCAAUCUUAAUGGGUAAGAAAUACGAUGACUUUUGGCCAAAAUGCAAGUUUCACAAUGAAAGUCUGAUUCAGCAAACUGGGAAAACAAAUCUGGAAAUAAAAGUUUCAGAUAACCAAAAGAAGCAUGACCUAAUCGUCUAUGCCAUAGCCAAAUUUUCUUCAUCCUGAUAGACUCAUCUCCUCUCACAUGAUGUGUCUGACUCAAUCUUGUACUGCUGUCUUCUGUCAAGUCCAGAUAAUACAACUUUCCCCUCCUAGUACCACAUCCAAUCACGGUCCUGGUGAGAAGAUCCUGAAAUAGACAAUACAAUGGCCAAAAACACACGGUACAAUUAAGGGAAUCAAUGAUUUGAGGAACAGAUAACAAGUCAUAGUCGAGUGAAGGGACAACUAAGACAUGAUCAAGACUUAAUGAAGAUGUAAGAGAUAAAGACCCUUCUCCCAUAACUUGGGAGGUGGUUCCAUUGGCACUGGUAAUAUGUGUUUGGCUUGAUGGUUUGGUAGAGUGCAACCCAGUAAAACUAGAUGUCAUGUGAUCAGUGGCGCCAGUGUCAAUAAUCCAUGAUCUAUUACAAGUAAGUGAAGAUGUGCAAGAGGUACCUGAGGUGGCCAAGGCCUUGGAGCCAUAUGUACCUGAUGGAGGUUCUGAUGCAGUCUCCUCGGAUGACUGAGCGAAUGCAAAUGAGGCUCUGGUAGAAUCCUUUUUCCGCGCUUUGUGGACCCAUCCUUCUGGAUAACCAAUGAUCUCAUAACAGCCCUUAAUGGUGUGGUUAUCUAAACCACAUUUGGUACACUUCAUUGGAGGCCGGUUACGAGUAGGGUCGACACUAUAGUUGUUCGGCCGAGAUUGUUUGGACCUUGCAGUAGCCAAGGCUGUGGCUUCGGAGGUUACACCAACUUCAGACAUGGUUCCCUGUCGGUUACUCUCUCUUUUAAUAUGUGCAUAUGCGGCCUCCAGUUCGGGUUUUGGCUCCAUCCGCAAAAUCUCUCCUCGGAUUUGAUCGAAAUUAUUGUACAAACCUGCAAGAAAUAUAUAAACUCGGAGACGAUCAACCUCUUUGCGUCUAGUCUCAAUGUCUUUCGGAUGCUCCAUGGUGCUUGGACUUAAUUGAUCAAGCUCCUGAAAAAUCUCAAUGAGCUCACUGUAAUAUUUGGCAACUGAUGCGCCAGCUUGCUUCAUUAUGAAUGACCGUCUGUGAAGGUCAUAAAUCUUGGCUUCAUCAGCACCAUCUGAAUAGGUUUGCUUGAUUGCAGCCCAGACUUGCUUUGCUGUGUCAUAACGAAUAAAUCGUUUAAUCUGAUUAGGUUGCAUGGCGUCGAACAACCAACUCUUGACUUGGCAAUCCGAUGCACGCCAUUUAUUAAAUGUGGGAUCUGUGUCUGCAGGUUGGGCAAUAUCACCGGUCAAGUGGCCAUGUUUUUCUCGCCCAGCUAUCUUCAUCUCUAUGAUUUGAUGCCAUAGAGAAUAAUUAUUCUCAUCCAGUUUGAUUCCUGCGGAGAAGUUGGAGGUGUCACUCUGCAAAGUGACGAUUUGUGUGGUAGUUUUGGAGCCUCCCGACACCAAGGAUUGAUUGGUGUUUGCUGACCCAUCAUCGUUGGCCAUGAUAUUGGCUGACACCCAAUGAAAAAAGGACAAAAAAGAAAUAUCAAGUUGAGGAAAAGCAAGUGCACGGUGGACAAAGGCAAUAAGACAAACUGUUUUGCAAUAAGAAAUAUUGGGUUGAAAGGGAAAAAAAAAGAACAAUAUGGGAACGGUUUGAAUGGGUCUGUGAGUGGAAAGUGAUUUGCAAUAUUGCAAAACGUGAUUUGACUAGAGGAAAGGUUUGAAUGGGUUUGUAAGAUGGAAUAUGGGUGGUAUUGGUGCUGGGUUUGUGAGAUGGAAUAUUGCUUUUGGUGCUGGUGCUGGUGCUGCGUAAUAGAUGGAAUAUUGCAAAACGGUGAUUUGAGAUGGAAUAUGGGCUGGUGCUGGGUCUGUAUGACGGCUGUUGCUGCGGAAGCGAUUAGGGUUAGGGCAAGAGACAGUCAAGAUUGACUGCUCUGAUACCAUAUCAGAUUGGUAAAAAAUAAUACUUCAUUCUUCUUAAUAUAUAACAAAUAGGAAGGUUAUAUAUACAGAGCCUAGGAAACUAUUCUAGGAAAGUAAUUAUGUUCCUAUAAUCUUGCAUAAUCAAAUAGUUGACUUAGACUAAUUAGGAAUGUACAGCUCAUUGACAGUAAGUAUUGGCGUCGGCCACCAUGGGAGCACAAAAGGAAAGACUGGGAAGACAGAUCUCCCUCCCCAUCUUAAACUGAAAGGUGUGAAUUGAGUGGUCUAAGUGGUAUCCUUUAACGUUCUUGCACCAAUGUUGUACAUGACAAUGCGACCAAACAAUUGUAGAUACAAGACAUCCUCAUUAUUUGGAUCAAAAGCUAGCACCAAAACCCUUUUUGUCCUCCCAUGGUGCUCAUCGUUCCACUUUUUGGUAAGAGGAUUUGCCGAGAUUAAGUCGAACAUGCGAGCUGUGUCUACCAAACACCAUUUUGCAGUCUCCUUGACUUGACCAUGACCUUUCCAAUCCCAAUCCCAAACACCAUGACCAUCGUCUUUCAACUCCCAAACACUCACAGCACCUAGAGUGUGAGCAGGAUCAUCAUGAUCUAAAUUGGUAGAGGAGAAGACGCACAUCCGCAGACACCCUUCUCCUCCUCCUCCACACUCACUUAGGAAGUCAAACCUUCGAGAUUCGAUUUCAGGCUUAUCAAUGUAACGAAAGACAUAUAUACUAUCACCAAGCUGGUCACGAGGAGAGUAGAGAUCCAACCCAAUAGUAAAGCCCUCAACAUCCCUCCACCAAUACAAGCUUCCAUUGUGAGCAACCCCGGGAUAGGGAGCCAAUUUGCUAAAACAAAACCUCCGUGGGUUAUUUACAAGUCCUUUGUCCAUUGACCUGUCUCAGAAGAAAAGAUCUCCAGCUAGAAUUCGCUGGAAACCUCCGGAAAGUCCAAUUUAUCGUCAUUUAUUCGCACAACCUUGUUGUAUGCUAUAGGAUCACUAUAUUAUUGCACAAUUCUUAAAAUAUAAACAGUAGCAAAAUUAUGAAAUCUGUAUGAAUGUGCAAAUAUAUAAAUUAAGUACAGAAACUGACUUUUAUUGAAGAUAGAGGCUUGCGUAUUUGCAAUGUCCUAAAGACAGAAUUUAGCCUCUUCUCAGUGCUUGAAGUUCAACAGGCGUCUAUCUCCCAGGAUUCAACUAUCUAUAAUUCAAGGGUUGGUGUGCCUCUCUCCAAUACAGUUGGUAACUUUAAAAUAAUAUGAGCAGUUAGUAUCCGUUAUACCUGUUCAAAUUCAAACAAAAAGAUAAGUCUUUCUGGUUUGAAUUUAACUUCUGCCAAAGAAAUCCGAAAAAUAAAAAUAAUUAUUUUAUUUUCGGGCUAGGUAUAUUUCUUUUAUUUUCCAGAGACCCAAGGCCCAAGGCCCAAGUCUUGAUUAUUUAAAUAUUAAUAUUAAUCAAGCAAGCCAAUCAUGAUAGUCUUUACUACCAAGCCCAUCAGCCCACCAAUCCUUAUUUAAUUGAUGUUAAGGUUUCAUGCUUAUAAAGCAUAUGGAAUUUUUUGUUUUCUCCAAUGUGGGACAUUUGCUUUCAAACUUCCAACAUACUCAACAUUAAUAAGAUUAUGAUUAAGCUGAAUAUUGACACUCCUCCUACUAGAUCUUUCUAGAUCUGCUGCUUGCUUUCGAUAGUAGGGAUCGCAUAUGAAUCCAACCAUUACGCACUUGUGGCAUCCUCCUGAUCCACGUCGAGGUCCACGUCGGGGGGGAGAGGGAGAGCAUCCCAUUGCUUGGUGUAUGGAUUGCAGAUGUAGUAAUCACGUUGAUAAUACGUGGUUGCACAACACAAAAUUAAAUCAUUAUAUGCUCCUAUCACAACUGGCUCACCUUUAUAAGGAUCAACAAUAUCAGCUUGGAAACAAGGGAGGAAACUCAGAGACAACUCAUGUUCAUGUGGUUGAUGAUCAGGCUCCGAUGACAUGGAAAAAAAAUUUCCUCUCACAUGGUUCAUCUUCAUCGGGCUGCUCCGAUGAUGACGUGGAAAGAAAUGUACUUCUUCUUCUUGUUGUACGCCUUCUAUCCGAGAUGGUUAUAGCACGUGCACGUGCACGUGCAAUGAUGUGGUUUUGGUUGCCACUUUGGAUUUGGAAAUAGUGUCGAAAAAAAUAAGGAUCAAAGAUGAGACUGAACCAACGUUUGGAGACACACAUGCAUCGAGCCGCACACUUAGGAGGGAGUCGGGAAAGAAUUUCUAGCAAAACAAACUCAGGGAGAUCAUCAAGACUAAUAUUCAUGGUUAUGGCUAACUCUUUCGAUAUUGGUUUUUCGGGUGCUCACCUUUUUGAUCUUUUUAAUGGAGACUGAUGAUGAUCAGAGGCUUCUCCAAUAGGUUUGGAUUGGGAUAUUCUACUGCUCCAACUCCUUUUGGUAGCACCAGGUCUCAUCAUGGCGCCGAUUGAUCCGUGUGCAGUUUGACUGACUAUUGCAAUUUGCAGAGAGGAUUUGGGUCUUGAAACAUACAUAGCUACUUAUCCUACUUUUAAUCACUAUAUAUAUAGGAACACAUAUAUAUAUAUAUAUAUAUAUAUAUAUUUUAUUUUUUUUUUUUGGGGGGUCGAAAAUAGGAAAAGAUAUCUAUAAAAAUAAAAAAAAGGCAAGCAAUCACUAAUUAUUAAUUUAUAAAUAGGAAAGAAAUCCUCAUACGAAUAGGAAUUAAUUUAUAAAGGAAAUAUAUAUAUUUUUUUUUUGGGGUCGAAAAUAGGAAAAGAUAUCCAUAAAACAAAUAGGCAAGCAAUCACUAAUUAUUAAUUUAUAAAUAGGAAAGAAAUCCCCAUACGAAUAAGAAUUAAUUUAUGAAGGAAAUAUAUAUAUUUAUAAGCCCUGCAAAUUUGGCAAGUUUUUCAAUAAAGAAAAUGCUAAUCACAAUCGCAAACCGUUGAUUAAAAUGAACCUCAUUAUCGCAGUUUUUACUGAUGCAUGCAUUGAAGGCUGUAUAUCGAAUUUUUAUAAAUUAAUUGAUUACAGACCACACAUAAGUAAUUUCUGAUCGUUGAUGAAAUGCUAGCCCCUCAUGCAUCAAUGGUCUAAAAUCACUUACUCGGGUGAAAGUGACUGACCGUAGCACACCCCAUUGACCUUUUCUUUCUUCUUAUCAAAGUUCAAACUCAAAGUGUUUAUAGUGGGUUACAUAAUGGGCUGCACAACCCUUCCAGAUUGUUUAGUAUUUCUUCGGGCUUGUGCUUUAAGAAUGGUAUUUCUGAGAAAUGUUAAACCACAAGGUAUGGGCAACCACCCAUUGCCCAUUACAAAGAAAAGUCCAUUGGGCUUAAUUGUGGGGUUCAUACUUUACAUUGAAGGGAAUCAAAAUUGAAGUUUAAGAUUAAGACCUACACUUGCCCUCCACUUUCUUGACUGCUUGUGCUUGAUCAGGCAGGCAGGCUGGUGUGUAAGUAGAUUUUUAUUUAUUUAUAGGUCACUUUACAGUAAGAUGCUAAAUAAGUUGAGGAUAGAUAGAGACGGUGGGAGGACACUAUGAUGAAACUGAAAAUUUUAAUGGGGUGGGGAUGAUUAUUACUCCUACAUGCUCUCAUGAGUACUAGGACUGCAAUUGUAUGCCCUUUUGGUGAAAUGGGCCUCUAUAUUCAUAAAGACUACCAAAUUUUCAAGAACAGCUUUUGCUGCUAGAGAACCUGUUGCCCCUAUAUCUGGUCUCAAUUAAUUGGGUUAGUUAGUUCAUAAUAUAAAUGCACGUGAAUGCAUUACUUGGAUGGAUGAGGAAGAUGGCAAGAAAACACACUCAGCUUACUUCUGAUGAAACGGAAUUGAAAGAAAAGAAAGUUUUGGUGAGGUUUUAAAUUGUCUUGAUUUGGCAGGGGACGACCCAUUAGUGUAGUGGUUUGGAGUAAUUGCUCUUGAGGCAAGGUUCUGAGUUCAAAUCCUAACAUCCGUUUUGUGUGUGAGUUUAGUAUAUUAUCGUCUCUCUCAACAAGAAAGGUCCUUCAAAAAAUGUCUUGAUUUGUAGCUAGCUGUGCUCUUUAUUGAAUGAAUAGGUAAUGAAGCUUUAAAACUGGACCAAACUUAACGCUGAAAUUACAAGAUAGCUUUUGCUCCUAGAGGCCCUUCUACCCUCUAUCUGGUCCCAAUUAAGUUGGUUGUUUGUAUAAUAUAAAUGCUUAUUAAUAAUAUACAUGCAUUGGGUGGAUGGUUAAAAAAAACAGAGUUACUCUGUUACUCAAACUUUGAUAGUUCAAUUCCACAGCAUACUGGGAUUAAUUGGAGACGACAAAACUACAGUUAAUAUACCUUCUGGCUUCACAAACGACAUAGAAAUGGAACAUUUUGAGGUUAAAGGUUGAUGCGCGUUGGCAGCUCAGAUCAUGACAAUCAAAUAUCAAAUCUGGAAGUUGAUUUUGUUCUUUUUGCUCCACUUUCUUUUGUGCAAUGUACAGUAUAAGAUGGGCGCAAAGGAAACCCACAUAGCUGUAGUUUUGUGUAUAACCAUCCAAGGAAGGGAAAAAAGAAAAAGUUAUUGGUCAAAAAGAUAGAGACCCCAGCUUCCCCGCAAUUGAAGUUGAAUGACAUUUUGCUUUUUACCAACUAUUUACUCUUGUGGAAAAUGCAUACAGUGCAUGCCGCCUGGUCUGGCCAUAUUGAAAACUUGAAAGCAACCUUGAUCUCAGUCUCCUUCCUUUGUCUUUUACAAUAUGACUAUGAGCCUGCUAGGAGCUAGCCUAGGGCUCAAGGCUUAGGUGAGCGUAGGUGAUGACCUUGUUAUGAACGAGCCUGAAUGAACAAAUAUGAACUAUUUUGCAGAAAUAAGACCAACCAACUUUGCAAAUUAAAGAGUUAAAAUAAGACAAAUGCUCUUAUAAGCAGAAGCUACCAUCAUAUACACUUUAUUGACUGUUUGUUUCAACUCAAGUAGUCCACAAACUUCAGCUUUUUCAAAGCAUGAACAUUAAGCACUUAUGAAAAACCAGAGACAACAGAUACAUAAUUAAAUAAACAUUACAAAAACCCUUCAUAAAAUAUUCUAUUUUUCUUGUGUUUUUAACUCCCACUUGAAUAUAUGAUCUGAGGAUAAAUAUAUCAAACACAGCAAAGCGGUACUAAUCAAAACAAGUCUCAGCUUAUGGCACGAACUCUUCUUCACUCUCUUGGAACUGAUCCUCGUUCUGGUUCACAUUGUUGUUGCCAUAGUUACCCCUGUUGUUGUACCAGUGUCUUGAAUCCACUACCCUUGAAUUUUCAUACUGGUUCUGAUUGUAGUUGUUCUCGCUCUGAGCGUCAUAGUAGUACUUUCCAUUCUCCAAAAACCUUGUGUCACUCAUGCCCUGCUUCUCAGCAUUGUAGUAGUUGUUGCUUUGGUAAUUGGUUGGGGUUGUGUAGCUGCUCUGUGUAAGCCUUGCAUCACUCAAGCCCUGCUUCUCCCCAUUGUAGUUGUUGCGGGUGUUUUGGUAAUUGGUUGGGGUUGUGGUUGUGGUGUAGCUGCUCUGUGUGAACCUUGUGUCACUUGGGUUGCUCUCAAAAUUGCCAUUGUAGUAAAAGUUGUUCUUGUUGGGGCGGUAUUGGGUGCUGUAGGUCUCAGGGUACUUGUUGGUGUGCUGCUGCUCUUUCUCUGACUCAGCUGUAUAUGGCAGGUUGUUGUUGUUGGUGGUGAAUUGUGCACCAUUGGUGGUGGUGUAGGGUGCACCGGUGGUUGUGGUGGUGUAGGGUGCACCGGUGUUUGUGGUGGUGGGAGGCAGCUGGCCAGACUCAUGGCCAUAGAGACCAUAUCCACUUUGGGUCUCUGGAAUGAAGGCUGGCUCUUGCUCUUGCCUUUUCACAGGGGUUUCUGUUUUGGGGACCUCUGUCUCCUUCUCAUAGUUUUUGUUGUUGUUGACAUUGGCCACUUUGCUAAAGAAUUGGCUUUCUCUAGCUUGAGCUUGUUGAGAGAAGAGGAGAGAUGCAAGGAAGAAGAGGAAAGAGAACAAUUUUGCAGCAGAAGCCAUAGUGGCAAGUGAACUUGUUGGGAGGCAGCUGCUGUAAACUGA